rnacentral:ncRNA from 1 species
AAUAGGUUUUAUCUUAGCUAAAAAUUGGGCAUUUUGACACCUUACAUGUAAAUUUUUGUAUGAUUAAUUUUAAAUUUUAAAAAUUUAAUUUAAAUUUUACAGUAAAUAAUUUUAAUAAAUUUAAUGAUUUAAGAAUUAGUGAUUAAAAAUAAUAUUAGCGAAGUUUGUGCCAGCAGCUGCGGUUAGACAAACAAUAUAAUUUAAUUUUUUUAAUAAAAAUAAAUUUGUUAUUUAAAUUUUAUUAUUAAUAUUAUUAAGUGAAAUUUUAAUAUUUAAAUAAAAUUAAUUAUUUUAAGUUGAUUUUGUAAAUUUAAUUAUUAAACUAGGAUUAGAUACCCUAUUAUUUUAAAUGUAAUUUUGAAUAUUAAAUUAGUAUUAGGUAUGUUCUUGAAAAUUAAAAGAUUUGGCGGUAUUUUAGACUAUUCAGAGGAACUUGUCCUGUAAUUGAUAAUCCACGAUUUAAGUUACUUUCUUUUUUAGUUUAUAUAUCGUUGUUAUUGAAAAUUUUAAAAAAAUAUAAUUUUCAAGAUUUUUAAUUAGAUAAUAAGUCAGAUCAAGAUGUAGUUUAUAGGAAAGUAGAGAUGAGUUACAAUAUAAAAAAUAAGAAUAUUUAUUAUUAUAAUAAAUUGAAUAUGGAUUUGAAAGUAAUUUAAAUAAAUUUAUUUAAAUGAUUAAGCUCUAAAAUAUGUACAUAUCGCCCGUCGCUUUCAUUAUAAAAUGAAAUAAGUCGUAACAAAGUAGAUUUAUUGGAAAAUGAAUCUAGAAUA